GUACCGGAGGCAAAGGAGAGCUGGAGGAAUCGGACGUGGAACAGGCGUGAUAAGGGAUUGAAAGGAGAAAAUUGGAAAUCGCGUGAAUCAAUGUCAGCAGUGGCAGACUUGAACCUCAAACCAAACUGCGAAAGAAUAAUGCGAUUGAUGAGGAUCUGACCACUAUCAGCAAACGAAUGUGGUAGCAUUCAAAUAUGAGCGGAUGAAGACGGGUUCGUGCUGGCAGUGGGAAGAAGUUUUUCUGAAGGAGUCUUGUCUGAGACUUUAUCACUUUCUUAUGAUGUCUCCAGGACAUGUCUUUUAAUCCCACUUUGAUAUCAUUUCCCAACCUGACUACCUUCCUUCCACUUUUUGAUCCAGAAGUAACUGUCAAAAACCAAUGAUAAUGGGAACUGCAGAUGCUGGAGAA